UACGUAGGGGGCAAGCGUUGUCCGGAUUUAUUGGGCGUAAAGAGCGUGUAGGCGGCCUGGAAGGUCAGCUGUGAAAACUCGAGGCUCAACCUCGAGACGUCGGUUGAAACCACCUGGCUAGAGUCCGGAAGAGGAGAGUGGAAUUCCUGGUGUAGCGGUGAAAUGCGUAGAUAUCAGGAGGAAUACCGGUGGUGUAGACGGCUCUCUGGACCGCCACUGACGCUGAGACACGAAAGCGUGGGUAGCAAACAGG
rnacentral:rRNA from 1 species